rnacentral:lncRNA from 1 species
UAGUGCAUGUGAACAUUGUUGCGUCUCUUAAUUGCUCAGUAUCGCGCCUGUACACUCGCGAUUCUCCAAGAUGUUUGGUUUCGCGAUGAUAAUUAAAAAUUAAUAGUCCCGGUAAGUGCAUGUAAGUACAUCAAUCCGAAGGAUACAGGCAAUUUUGAUCCUCACAAGUGGUACCGGGUGUUCUGGAAGGAUAACACACACUGCGGCCACUAUCACGCUCAAGUGAUUAAGCUUUACGCCACCGAGGAUGAUGCAAGGAAUGCAACAGAAAAACGACCAUCCAUUCCGCAGACCCGAUUGCGACUCCUCCGAUGGCUGCAGUUCAAAUGAAGUGGACAAUGAGUCGUUUAAAAACAAAGAACCUUGUCCUUUGCGGGUGUUGCAGCACAAGCCUCAAAAACAGAAGCAACUUGCACCUUUGCCACCACUAUGUGCUGCUACGCUGGAACCACCACAGUGACCACGGACAGCCCUGAAGUAGCCCACUCAAGUGUGAGGGAGGCUGCACCGCUUAUCAAUUAUGUGCCCACUGACAGAGAGGUAUCAUAAACCUCUGGUAUGCUUUGUCUUGAAGAUAUAUUGUUUUGCUUUUUAAUGAGAAAAUGUGCAUUGACAAACUAAUGUGUGCACAUCAUCUUGGACUUGUUUUAUAGGUGCAUCGGAGCAAAGGAAUUGCCGUUCCCAAGAGGUUGUACAAUCACCCCAUGGGCUUGAAAAGACAGACCCAUUUUGUUUGUGAGGCGGCCGUUAACCAUUUUUCAUACAGCAGGCCAAGUCGGUAGAAGUGUUACUGGUGCAGCCUCCAAUCGGUCUAAAGGGGAGGCGAAAUCUCCCUAGGAGAAAGAAACAUAUGCUGUAUUUUCAGAUCAUGCAGAUUUCUUCAACCAUUUUUUUGAAGCACACCGUUCUGAUUGGAAAGGUUGAACAAAUGAAGAAGCUCCUCAAGAAAGCUUUGGCAAACAAAAUUAUUGACUUUAUGAAAUCAAAAGAUUAACCAAGGAAUGGCACAUCAAAUAAAAUAUUUUGUUUGAU